CGGGACGGGACGUCUCCGUUCCCUCCUUCAGGGAAUGAGGGUUACAAUAGGUAACCGAUAUGCUCCCUUUCAGUCGGUCACUCUCAACAUCACGUUGGAUGACCGAUGAAUUGGGAUCCCUACCAAAGAGCCACAGCGACUGCCCCUUUCAGUGUCCUGUGAAAGCCACCUGCACCCCUAUUUUCUGGCACAGGCCAGGGCUCAGCACAAGAAGACCAGCUACCGCUACUAUGGCAAUACCUACUCAGUAAGACUAGAUAACACUGGGAAAACAUACCCGCUCCACUUGGAACAGGGACGCUGCGGAAGUCCACAGCCUUCCCGAAGGAGGUUUCGGAAGCAAUUACACAUAUGAACAACCGUUAGGUGUAUAUGGAAGAUCGGAGGUGAUUGUAACUCUCUUAGAAUUGGCAGAAGUCUGCCGGGGAAACAUGAGCUCUGAGGCUAUACCAUGGACUUUACACAUAUGGGAUCCACUAAGGCCUCUACAUAUGGAACCCAGUCCUCUACCAGUUCUCGCGGAUUCAUAGAGUGAGGGCCUGGCACCGGACGCUCUGCCACGUCUGGCUCCCGAGGGGACGGAGGAGCUCAACAGGGUCUAUUGUAUGGACUCUCUGGAGCAGUUUAAGCAGUGCUUCUACCCGUUUGAGACACCAGAAAAUUUCAAUGUGACCUUGUGGUGCUCUGCAUUUAGCCCAUCCAAGUGCCCACACACAGCAGUGAGAAGUGAACACACCGUGAACACACACUCGGAGCAGUGGGCAGCUAUAUAUCCAGCACCUGGGGAGCAACUGGGGGUUCAGUGCCUUGCUCAAGGACACUUCAGCCAUGGGUAUUGAGGGUGGAAGAGAGCGCUGUUCAUUCACUCCCUCCCACCUACAACUUCUACCAGCCCCGAGACUCAAACCUCCAACCUUCGGGUUACAAGUCCAAAUCUCUAACCAUUAGGCCACAGCUUCCCCAUGACACUAAUAAUGUAAAACAUAAUGACACUAAUUUGUGGAGAUUCAGUGCAUUGUGAGUUCCACAAGCCUGAACACAUUAUUUGAAAAUUUACUGUUAAGAUAAAAUUUUUGCAGUUUAUUAUCUGUAAUACCAUUGUGUAGCCACUAGAUGCCUGUAUAACACAAGUAACAAUGCCUAAUACCUAAGAAAUUGUCAUCACACAUAAAUUAAUUUCAUUACUUAGAUUUGGAAAUGCCUACAUGUUUAGUUAUCAUCAGUGACUACUUGUUUUCUUUAUCUGUUUUUUGUUUAAUUGUUUUGCAAUUUUGGCGAAUCUGAGCUGUACGCAGGCAGCGUAUGCUCUUCUGUGUCAGCUGCGCCACAAGGAUAUGUUUUCUACAUAUAUUUACAAUUUUAUUUAAAAGAAAACAGCAGAACCUGUGUCGCAGCUGACACAGAAGAGCGUACACUGUCUGUGUACAGCUCAGAUUUGCCCUAUAUGGUGCUACGCUGAGGUGGAGUGACACAGAGAAGACAAAUUAUUGAAUAAAGUCAUUAUUUUUGUUUUAUUCGCA
ensembl:lncRNA